CCUACGGGAGGCAGCAGUGAGGAAUAUUGGUCAAUGGACGAAAGUCUGAACCAGCCAAGUAGCGUGCAGGAAGACGGCCCUCUGGGUUGUAAACUGCUUUUAGUUGGGAAUAAAAAGAGGGACGUUGUCCCUUAUUGUAUGUACCAUCAGAAAAAGGACCGGCUAAUUCCGUGCCAGCAG
rnacentral:rRNA from 1 species